GCCAGUGUGAGGUGCCUGGACUGCCUGCCUCUCCCAUUCCUUUGUGAGGACUGUGAUGUUGCUGUUCACACACGCUUUGUCCUGCACAACAGAGAGGCAGUAACUGGAGGGUUUUUGCAGCCUUUGUCAGAGUUUCAGCAGCAAAUAGUGCGGCUGUUACCGAUACAGAGGCCAGAUCGCGUCUGUGGCUGUUCAACAGGCGAAAGUUAUGUUUCACAUGGCAGAAAUGUGGCUCUUAUAACCAUAAAUGGUCGCUAUAACCUUGCAUUGCCAGUGGUGAGUUGCACCAGCUGUG